UACAGAGGUCUCAAGCGUUGUUCGGAUUCAUUGGGCGUAAAGGGUGCGUAGGCGGCGCGGUAAGUCGGGUGUGAAAUCCCGGAGCUUAACUCCGAAACUGCAUUCGAUACUGCCGUGCUUGAGGACUGGAGAGGAGACUGGAAUUCAUGGUGUAGCAGUGAAAUGCGUAGAGAUCAUGAGGAAGACCAGUGGCGAAGGCGGGUCUCUGGACAGUUCCUGACACUGAGACACGAAGGCCAGGGGGAGCAAACGGGG
rnacentral:rRNA from 1 species